rnacentral:rRNA from 1 species
CGCGGCCUAUCAGCUUGUUGGAGAGGUAACGGCUCACCAAGGCAUCGACGGGUAGCUGGUCUGAGAGGAUGAUCAGCCACACUGGGACUGAGACACGGCCCAGACUCCUACGGGAGGCAGCAGUGGGGAAUCUUGCACAAUGGGCGAAAGCCUGAUGCAGCAACGCCGCGUGCGGGAUGAAGGCCCUAGGGUUGUAAACCGCUUUCAGUAGGGAAGAAAAUGGCGGUACCUACAGAAGAAGGUGCGGCCAACUACGUGCCAGCAGCCGCGGUGACACGUAGGCAUCAAGCGUUAUCCGGAUUUAUUGGGCGUAAAGAGCUCGUAGGCGGUUUGGUAAGUCGGGUGUGAAAACUCUGGGCUCAACCCAGAGAGGCCACCCGAUACUGCUAUGACUAGAGUACGGUAGGGGAGCGGGGAAUUCAUGGUGUAGCGGUGAAAUGCGCAGAUAUCAUGAGGAACACCAGCGGCGAAGGCGCCGCUCUGGGCCGUAACUGACGCUGAGGAGCGAAAGCAUGGGUAGCAAACAGGAUUAGAUACCCUGGUAGUCCAUGCCGUAAACGUUGGGCACUAGGUGUGGGUCUCAACCAACGAGAUCCGCGCCGUCGCUAACGCAUUAAGUGCCCCGCCUGGGGAGUACGG